rnacentral:rRNA from 1 species
AUGGCAUCUUCUACUCUGAAACCAGGUGUGCCUAUCACUCUGCAAGAGCUUGAGCCCUCCUCGGAGAUGUUCAAGCAAGGGGCAUCCAUCCGAGUAACAGGAACCCUUCAGUCAUACGAUGUGGACUCCGCGGUUGCCGUCAUACGAGAUGGCAGCGCGACGCUUAGAAUUGACACCCAGCACCUGAGGGAAAUCGGUUUCCGCAGCGGCUCUAUGUUCCAGUUCAUCGGCGAGCUCCUGAUCCGGCCAAACAACGACGCGAUUCUGCAAGCACGUGUGGGCAGGAACGUUGAUGGCCUUGACCUGAACCUUUACCAGCAGUCUCUGAUCAUCCGGCGGCAGCAUAAAGCCAGACUGCUGAGGAGGGAUUGA